rnacentral:snRNA from 1 species
AUAUUUACCUGGCAGGGGAGACAUUAUGAUCAUGAAGUUGGCUUUCCCAGGAUGAGGCUCAUUCAUUGCAUUUCAGGGAUGCUGAGCCCUGUGAUUUCCCCAAAUGCAGGAAACUCGACUGCAUAAUUUGUGGUAGUGGGACUAA